UGAAACACCAACCCUGUAUGAUUACCAAAGUUAAGCAACAUUGGGCUUGGUCAGUACCUAGAUGGGUGACCACUUGGGAAUACCAGGUACUGUAAG